rnacentral:rRNA from 1 species
GACCUCGGAUCAGGUAGGGAUACCCGCUGAACUUAAGCAUAUCAAUAAGGGAGGAAAAGAAACCAACAGGGAUUGCCUCAGUAACGGCGAGUGAAGCGCAUCAGCUCAAAUUUGAAAUCUGGCCCCGUCGGGGUCCGAGUUGUAAUUGUAGAGAGUGUUUCGGGUGAGACCACGGUCUAAGUCCAUUGGAACAUGGGUCAUAGAGGGUGAGAAUCCCGUAUGUGACCGUGGCUCGAGCCCAUGUGAGCCUCUUCGACGAGUCGAGUUGUUUGGGAAUGCAGCUCAAAAUGGGUGUAAAUUUCAUCUAAAGCUAAAUACUGGCUGGAGACCGAUAGCGCACAAGAGAGUGAUCGAAAGAUGAAAAGCACUUUGGAAAGAGAGUCAAAAAGUACUGAAAUUGUUGAAAGGGAAGCGCUUGCAACCAGACCUGUCCGUAGGUGACAGCCGCUGUUCUCAGCGGUGCACUCGCUCUGCGAUCAGGCCAGCAUCGUUUCGGCGGUCGGAUAAAGGCCUUGGGAAUGUAGCUUCUUUCGGGGAGUUUAUAGCCCUCGGUGCAAUGCGGCCAGCCGGGACCGAGGACCGCGCUUCGCUAGGAUGCUGGCGUAAUGGUUGUAAGCGACCCGUCUUGAAACACGGACAAGGAGUCUACCAUCUAUGCGAGUGUUUGGGUGUUAAACCCAUACGCGAAUGAAAGUGAACGGAGGUGAGAACCCUUUAGGGCGCAUCAUCGACCGACCAGAUGUCUUCGGAUGGAUUUGAGUAUGAGCAUAGCUGGUGGGACCCGAAGAUGGUGAACUAUACUUGAAUAGGGUGAAGCCAGAGGAAACUCUGGUGAGGCUCGCAGCGGUUCUGACGUGCAAAUCGAUCGUCAAAUUUGAGUAUGGGGCGAAAGACUAAUCGAACCAUCCCCCAAGCGGUGUUAAUUGACAUUACAAGCUACAGGUGGUUAAUCGGAGCAUCUCGCGCUGCGAAUGCUCUUAUCCUUCGGGGCGACAUCACUACUUGCAUGAACACACCUUAGGGUUGACAGCCGCAGUUCUUCCCACUUCCGUGGGGUCUCUGUUCACAGACCAAAUAGGGUGGCCGGGCUCCCCUCUCGGGGGUGCCUGGUUUAGAAAUGGCCGAGUCUACUCCUAAUCGAGUCGGUCCAGGGAUGGAGGUCGCGAUACCUCCUGCCUGGACCUCAAA